AAACUCCAAACUUCUCAUAUAAUUUUCAAAAUGAAGACAGCUGAUAACAAAAAAAAAACAUUGUUAUUGGUUUAUCUGAUAGGGACAGGUACAGUUUACACAGACAAAACUGAAAACAGCUCAGCCAACAUGACAAAUCCCACACAGGAUCACUGCAUCACCUCAAUGAGGCAACAGAUGUGCCCAAUGAUUGGGACUGCCCCUGGUCAAAUUGGGGCCCUAAGCAAAAUUUUGUUACGAAUAGUAGCAGCCAGACAUUCACAGCCUUUCACAGAUGCACACAUCUGCAUUUUUUGGAUGCAAAAUCAUCAAGGAGGUCACGGUAUGACAGUUGGUCUAAAGUUAUGUUCAUGAUAGCCAGGCCACUUCAGCAUUGUUGUGCUACUGAUGAAUGGAGGUAUCUCUUAAUAAGCUUUUAAUAAGCUCUUGCUUGGGCCGGAUUCAAAAUGUCUUUUAGACGAUAUCUCUUCUCCUGCAGUAGAGCCCUGCUCUGAUCAGUGAUGGGUCAGAUGUUGAUUGUCAGUCAUUGCAGCAAUUUAUUCAUGAUCAAACUGCUGUGAUAAAACAUGUAACAGACUUUCUGACAAACAGGACUGUACUGAACCAGUCCACAGUGAGGAGCCUGUGUAAACUGGUUAUGUCCCUCUGACCAUGGAGCUAAUACAUAUGAUAAAAUGACUGUGGUUACAACCAGUUGGAAAACAACAUUUAUUCAACUCCUGGGUGACAGAGAGUUCAAGAGCAGCAGACAAAGGUCCAUUGUGCUCAAUAGGCUGUCCUGCCAUGACAUCAGACUCUAACCAUGUGGAUAACACCAGCAUUAACACUAAUGUAUGCUCCAACACACAUGUCCACCUGGUCAUUUAACAUUCUUAAAUCCAGGACAACACAGUUUGGUAAAACUACACUAAAUCACUAAGAAGAGCAGCACUUCAGCUUAAACACUGACUGGCUUUCUUAGUCCACAGUCUUCACAAUGGCCACCAUUCAGUGCAGUGCUGGUGUCUGCCAUAAUAGGAGCCAGGGCCUGGCUCUUCUUUUGUGUCGGCCUGUGUAUGUUGUGUUUGUUUAUCUGACUAACAGGCUGAAUUUGGAUCCAGAGCACACAGAUGAUGGAUGGUGAGUGGAUGAGUUUGUCUCUUUGGAGUCUCUAAGUCAGGAGACAUUUCCAGCUGUGGACUGAUUUCCUCUAUUAACAAUUCAAGACUGACAACAGUGAAACUGCUUUUAGUGAAACACACAGUGACCACAUCAUGCAGUACUAUGUCAACUGAUGCCUGAAGUGCACACCAGGUACCCCACAGAGAAACAGGACAUAGUAGAGAGCGUGGUAUCAAACCGGAGGCCCUGAAAUAACCAGAGCAGAAAAGACCCAGAGCGGGGGUCAGGAAGUGAGCUCAGAGCAUCUUAAGAGUGCAUCUGCAGCAGGUAUCGCACUCCAGCUCUCCACCAAGACUACUACCAGAAGACUACUUCAAAGUACAAUGGAAGGCACCAGAACUUCUCUGUGGCUGUUUGUCCUGCUCAGCCAGCUUCCAUUCUGUCCAACUGAUGCAGGACAAGGCUUUUCAGCUAUGCAGACAACGAAUACAUACAAAACACCAGAUCAAGAUGGAAGUUCUACUGCUGCCAUGGAGUCCAGCCUCACUACUGUUGACCACACAAACUCCCCCGAUACAGACACCAAUGGCACUCGUGCCGACUGCUUGAUCGACACUGAGAUGGGUCUGAUUGCUAUAGGUUCAGCAGGGGGGCUGAUUGUCUUCCUGCUGGUUGCCACUGUGGUACUGGCAUGCCAGGUCUGCCACAUUCAGCACCGGGUUUAUGCCCUGCAAACCUCCCGGUCCAACAUGGACUUGGUGAGCGGUACGAGCUACUGGGGCCCUGACCAGCCAGAGGCUGGAGGAAUGGUGGGGCCCUGUGACGCCAGUGUCAUGCUUGAGGAGGUGAGAGCAGAGAGCAAGAUGGAAGAAGAGAGGCAGCCUGAAAUACCAGAGGUAAGGGAGGAGGCUGGGCCAGGACUUGAGGAAGGGGCCACGGUAACGGUUUUUGACCUAGAGGAGGCCAGUCAGAUGAAGAGCUCCAGCUCCAGGGACUCCUGUCUUGAGGUUCCCAGAGAUCUAGAGGACAUGCCCCUUGUUGUGUGAGGAGGUAACCUCAGCAAGCUCCAGCCUCAGACACUUUACUCAAGACAAACGCAACCAGUCAUUUCAACUCAUGUGCUGUGGUUUAACUUGUUUUAUUCACAUUCUCUUCAGUUUAUUCCACCUGACAGAAUUUAACUAAAAUUUAAACUAAAAUGCUUGAAACUUGGAAUACUACUGCUGAUACAGUACCCGAGGUUUGGUACCCAUACCCAAAAGGAUAGUUUUAGAGAAAAUGAAACAGAUUUGUCAAUAGAACCCUGGUAGUAGAUCAUCUAAAACAAAAGCAAAAUUAUGUUUCUAAUCAGGAACCAUCUGAUCAAACAUUAAACAAAGUUUACCAUGCAGUUUUUGAUAGUGAACGCUCCUGACAUUUUGGUUGGUAACAAAAUAAUAAUGACGUUCAACACCAAUGUGUAUACAUUUUAACAUAUGAAUCUACUAACAGAGUUUGUUAAAAUAACAGGUAUUUUUGAAAAAGUGAGGCAUUCAUUUUUCAUACCCAAAAGGAUAAGCAUUUUUCAAGACAAAUGCUGAAGUAUAACUUUUAAAUAUCUAAAAAUAUCUAACAUGAUAUUCUACAUAUUUUAACACUUGCUUUGUAUAUUCAACACUUGCUGUAAGACUACUUGAUUUGGAUCAAUUCACAACAUAACUGAGUGGACACAAAAAAAAGAUGAAAAGGCAGAGCAAUGAGUACAACAGCACAUUUGUAUCACAGAGAUGUGAACUCUGCUGCUGCUAAAGCCAUUCUAAAAUAAUGGUCACAAAGUUGGGCAUAUUGUCUGCUAACAGUCCUUGUUGUAUUAAUAAAUCUCUUGAAUUUAGCUGUCUGACCUCUUACCUGUACUGCAGACUUUACUACUGCUCUUUUAUAACUCAUCUGUACACAAUAAAGAACCUGUUCAAAUGCCAGGUUUUAAAUAAAUGGAUUUUUGCAUUGUG